AGUGAACGCUGGCGGUAGGCCUAACACAUGCAAGUCGGACGGCAGCACGGUAAGAGCUUGCUCUUACGGGUGGCGAGUGGCGGACGGGUGAGGAAUACAUCGGAAUCUACUUUUUCGUGGGGGAUAACGUAGGGAAACUUACGCUAAUACCGCAUACGACCUACGGGUGAAAGCAGGGGAUCUUCGGACCUUGCGCGAUUGAAUGAGCCGAUGUCGGAUUAGCUAGUUGGCGGGGUAAAGGCCCACCAAGGCGACGAUCCGUAGCUGGUCUGAGAGGAUGAUCAGCCACACUGGAACUGAGACACGGUCCAGACUCCUACGGGAGGCAGCAGUGGGGAAUAUUGGACAAUGGGCGCAAGCCUGAUCCAGCCAUACCGCGUGGGUGAAGAAGGCCUUCGGGUUGUAAAGCCCUUUUGUUGGGAAAGAAAAGCAGCAGGUUAAUACCCCGCUGUUCUGACGGUACCCAAAGAAUAAGCACCGGCUAACUUCGUG
rnacentral:rRNA from 1 species